rnacentral:rRNA from 1 species
GAUGAACGCUGGCGGCGUGCCUAAUACAUGCAAGUCGAGCGAACGGACGAGAAGCUUGCUCCUCUGAUGUUAGCGGCGGACGGGUGAGUAACACGUGGAUAACCUACCUAUAAGACUGGGAUAACUUCGGGGAACCGGAGCUACUACCGGAUAAUAUUUUGAACCGCAUGGUUCAAAAGUGAAAGACGGUCUUGCUGUCACUUAUAGAUGGAUCAGCGCUGCAUUAGCUAGUUGGUAAGGUGACGGCUUACCAAGGCAACGAUGCAUAGCCGACCUGAGAGGGUGAUCGGAUAGACUGGAAGAGAGACACGGUCCCGACUCCGACGGGGGGAAGCAGUAGGGAAUCCUCCGCAAUGGGGCAAUGCCGGAUGGAGCAACGUCGGGUGAGUGAUGAAGGUCUUCUGCUCCGAAAACUAUGUAAGUAGUGAAGAACAAAUGUGCUAGUACCCGUGAUCAUCUUGACGGUACCGAAUCAGAAAGCCCCGGCUAACUACGUG